rnacentral:rRNA from 1 species
UACGUAGGGGGCAAGCGUUGUCCGGAAUCAUUGGGCGUAAAGAGCUCGUAGGUGGUUUGUCGCGUUGUUCGUGAAAACUCACAGCUCAACUGUGGGCGUGCGGGCGAUACGGGCAGACUUGAGUACUGCAGGGGAGACUGGAAUUCCUGGUGUAGCGGUGGAAUGCGCAGAUAUCAGGAGGAACACCGGUGGCGAAGGCGGGUCUCUGGACAGUUCCUGACGCUGAGGCACGAAGGCCAGGGGAGCAAACGGG